rnacentral:rRNA from 1 species
GACAGAGGGUGCAAACGUUGUUCGGAAUUACUGGGCGUAAAGCGCGUGUAGGCGGCUCAGUAAGGCUGCGGUGAAAGCCCGGGGCUCAACCCCGGGUCGGCCGUGGCAACUGCUGGGCUGGAGCACUGUAGAGGCAGGUGGAAUUCCGGGUGUAGCGGUGGAAUGCGUAGAGAUCCGGAAGAACACCGGUGGCGAAGGCGGCCUGCUGGGCAGUAGCUGACGCUGAUGCGCGACAGCGUGGGGAGCAAACAGG